AUUGAACGCUGGCGGCAGGCCUAACACAUGCAAGUCGAGCGGAGCGGCGGACGGGUGAGUAAUGCCUAGGAAUCUGCCUGGUAGUGGGGGAUAACGUCCGGAAACGGGCGCUAAUACCGCAUACUAUCAGAUGAGCCUAGGGCGGAUUAGCUAGUUGGGGGGGUAAAGGCCUACCAAGGCGACGGUCCGUAACUGGUCUGAGAGGAUGAUCAGUCACACUGGAACUGGGAAACGGCCCAGACUCCUCGGGUAGGAAGCAGUGGGGAAUAUUGGACAAUGGGCGAAAGCCUGAUCCAGCAAGGCCGCGUGGGGGAAGAAGGUCUUCGGAUUGUAAAGCACUUUAAGCUGGGAGGCGUUACCAACAGAAUAAGCACCGGCUAACUUCGUGCCAGCAGCCGCGGUAAUUC
rnacentral:rRNA from 1 species